rnacentral:snoRNA from 1 species
AAACUGUGAUGAGGACACUCUAGGAGGAGUUAUUUAAAACGUUCCAUACAUCAAGAGAAUGAUUCAUUGGGAUUCUGGUGAAACUGGAGAAUGUCAUUCCUAAGCUU